CAGGACUCUAGCACAGUGAAAGG
rnacentral:piRNA from 1 species